GGUUCGGUGGUGUAGUGGUUAUCAUGUCUGCUUUACACGCGGAAGGUCCCCGGUUCGAACCCGGGCCGAACCA
rnacentral:tRNA from 1 species